GACGAACGCUGGCGGCGUGCUUAACACAUGCAAGUCGAACGGUAAGGCUCCAGCUUGCUGGGGUACACGAGUGGCGAACGGGUGAGUAACACGUGGGUGACCUGCCCUGCACUUCGGGAUAAGCCUGGGAAACUGGGUCUAAUACCGGAUAGGACCGCACCGUGAGGGUGUGGUGGAAAGUUUUUUCGGUGUGGGAUGGGCCCGCGGCCUAUCAGCUUGUUGGUGGGGUAAUGGCCUACCAAGGCGGCGACGGGUAGCCGGCCUGAGAGGGUGGACGGCCACAUUGGGACUGAGACACGGCCCAGACUCCUACGGGAGGCAGCAGUGGGGAAUAUUGCACAAUGGGCGGAAGCCUGAUGCAGCGACGCCGCGUGGGGGAUGACGGCCUUCGGGUUGCAAACUCCUUUCACCAUCGACGAAGGGUUUCUGACGGUAGAUGGAGAAGAAGCACCGGCUAACUACGUG
rnacentral:rRNA from 1 species